AGGUUUGAAGCAGAAAAUGUAGAUUAUUUUUUUUUAGCACAGGGAAAAAUAGGGAUUUAUGUGAUUUUUCCAGAAAGACGGAUUUCUGAGCAGCGUUCUGGGGCGAGAGGAACCGCUAUGGGUAGGUGAAACCUCCCGGCUGCCUGGCGAUGGGUGCUCGUGCCACUCGCGGAUGCUUUUUGAGCAUCAGUAACACAUUUUUUUGGUGUUAAAAAAACAAACGCCACAGCGCUAAAUUUCUGCAAAAAGCAGAACAAUUCAAAAUUUCUAGUAGUAGUCAGCAUCUUUGGGGUUUUCCUGUUUUUUUUUCUCACAUUUAUUCACACUUCUCUUUUCCGUUCAGACUUUGGCAUUUCCCAGGGUUCAUGUGUCCCCGGGUGAGCUCAAGCUGCACUCAAAAACCCCGUUCUGGUCUAGCAGUGACCCAAAAAGGACCAGAAACACCCCAAAAAAAGGGAUUUGCGUCAAAGUGGGAGCAAAGGCGAGGUAGGGAGCGCAGCGUAAGCCAGCAAACUGCGGCUGAGCGCCGGCUGGGUUUGCACUGAGCCCACGGCUCGCAGGCAAGACAUCCAGCAGGACCCAAAACGGUUGGUUUUAGCCCCAAAAUACGGAGCUGGGCAUUCGGGAGCCGUGCAGGAGCGAGCACCUGUCCCCUGCAGCGACGGGGCCGUCGGGGCUGGUUUGCCGGGUUGGGAGGAGGGUGUGGCUGUGGGGCUGCUGAAAUUAAUACGUUUCUGUAUUAAAAAUACCUAUUUAAAUUUCAGCCUCCAGAGGUGGCCAGUGGAAUGCCAACACACGAGGUAAGGCGCUUUGUGGGGUUUUGGGUUAUUUAGGGGAUUUUUAACCUCUUCAGGGUAAAAAAGGGAUGCUUCCUAACGCCUAGAAAAUAAUUAGUUAAAAAAAUAAAUGAAUAAAAUGUUAAAAAUUUCCCAGCCUCUCCCCUUUCCCAGCCUUCCCCCCUGCACUGGUUAGAAAUCAAAGCCAGGAGGGAUUUCACCCCAAAAACCGGACGGACAAAGGGACGUGGGAAUCGACCCAGCCCCUGGCCAGGACUCUCCGUGGCGGGCGGGUGACACCUCCCUGGUCUUCCCCACAGCUCUUCCUCGCUGCUGCCCUCCUCUUCCUCGUCGGAGCAGGCAGCGGGGCUAAUGGAGCAGCCGCAGGCCGGACGGUGGGAGCGAGGGGAGGGGCACGUCCGCCCCCCCCAGCCGCCAGCUGGAGCCCUCCCCGGAGGAAGCGAGAGGAGGAGCCACCUUCAUACCUGAAGUGGGUGACUUUUGAAGGCGAGCUGCCCGCCGACGCCGUCUCCAGC
rnacentral:lncRNA from 1 species